rnacentral:rRNA from 1 species
GACGAACGCUGGCGGCGUGCUUAACACAUGCAAGUCGAGCGGCGCGGCGAACGGGUGCGUAACGGGUGAGUAACUGCCCCCCUCUCUGGGCUAACAGUUGGAAACGGCUGCUAAUACCGGUUAGUGGGGGAUGACUCGCGUCCAAUCAGCUUGUUGGUGGGGUAGUGGCGUACCAAGGCGACGACGGGUGGCCGGCCUGGGAGGGCGACCGGCCACAUGGGGCAGGGAUACGGGCCGAACGGCUACUGGAGGCAGCAGUGGGGAAUAGUGCACAAUGGGGGAAGUCCUGAUGCAGCAACGCCGCGUGCGGGAUGACGGCCUUCGGGUUGUAAACCGCUUUCAGCCAUGACGCGGUAGUGGCAGAAGAAGCACCGGCUAACUACGUGCCAGCAGCCGCGGUAAUUC